rnacentral:rRNA from 1 species
GACGAACGCUGGCGGCGUGCUUAACACAUGCAAGUCGAACGAAGUGGCGAACGGGUGAGUAAUACGUGGGUAACCUGCCCUCCUUUUUGGGAUAAGCCUUGGAAACGGGGUCUAAUACCGAAUAAAGGGGGAUGGGCGCGGGGCCUAUGAGCUUGUGGGUGGGGUGAUGGCCUACCAAGGCGGUGAGGGGUAGGCGGCCUGAGAGGCUGACCGGAACUGUGGGGAGUGCGAGACGGCCCAGACACGUACGGGAGGGAGAUGUGGGGGAUAGUGCACAAUGCUCGAAAGCCUGAGGCAGGGACGUCGCGUGGGUCAUGAAGGCUUUCGGGUUGUAAACCUCGGUCGCUAUCGAACCGGUAGGUGGAGAAGAAGCGCCGGCUAACUACGUGCCAGCAGCCGCGGUAAUUC